rnacentral:rRNA from 1 species
AGAGUUUGAUUCUGGCUCAGGAUAACGCUGGCGGCGUGCUUAACACAUGCAAGUCGAACGAAGCACGUGCUGAGUGGCGGACGGGUGAGUAACGCGUGGGUAACCUGCCUCAUACAGGGGGAUAACAGUUGGAAACGACUGCUAAUACCGCAUACGCACAGUACCGCAUGGUACAGUGUGAAAAACUCCGGUGGUAUGAGAUGGACCCGCGUCUGAUUAGCUAGUUGGUAAGGUAAAAGCUUACCAAGGCGACGAUCAGUAGCCGGCCUGAGAGGGCGACCGGCCACAUUGGGACUGAGACACGGCCCAAACUCCUACGGGAGGCAGCAGUGGGGAAUAUUGCACAAUGGGGGAAACCCUGAUGCAGCGACGCCGCGUGAGCGAGUUUCGAUGAGCUCUAUCAGCAGGGAAAAAAACCUGACUAAGAAGCCCCGGCAACUACGUGCCAGCAGCCGCGGUAAUACGUAGGGGGCAAGCGUUAUCCGGAUUUACUGGGUGUAAAGGGAGCGUAGGCGGCAUAGCAAGUCUGAUGUGAAAGCCCGGGGCUCAACCCCGGGAUUGCAUUGGAAACUGUUAAGCUAGAGUGUCGGAGAGGUAAGUGGAAUUCCUAGUGUAGCGGUGAAAUGCGUAGAUAUUAGGAGGAACACCAGUGGCGAAGGCGGCUUACUGGACGUAACUGACGCUGAGGCUCGAAAGCGUGGGGAGCAAACAGGAUUAGAUACCCGUGUAGUCCACGCUGUAAACUAUGGAUGCUAGGUGUUCGGUACAAUCUCUGAGUGCCGCAGCUAACGCGUUAAGCAUCCCACCUGGGAAGUACGGCCGCAAGGCUAAAACUCAAAUGAAUUGGCGGGGACCCGCACAAGCGGAGGAGCGCGUGGUUUAAUUCGAUGGCAAUCGAAGAACCUUACCAGGGUACAUGAUCGCAUAUUCCCGAAACGGGAAUCUUCGGUGACAAGGUGCUGCAUGGCCGUCGUCAGCUCGUGUCGUGAGAUGUAGGGUUAAGUCCCGAAACGAGCGCAACCCCUAUCUCAUGUUAUAUGUGUCUUGAGAAACUGCCUCGGUAAAACGGGGAGGAAGGUGGGGAUGACGUCUGGUCCGCAUAGCCCUUAUGUCCUGGGCUACACACGCGCUACAAUGGUAGGUACAAUGGGCAGCCAAACCGCAAGGUGGAGCUAUCCUAAAAAACCUAUCUCAGUUCGGAUUGUGGGCUGAAACUCGCCCACAUGAAGUUGGAUUCGCUAGUAAUCGUGGAUCAGAUGCCGCGGUGAAUACGUUCUCGGGUCUUGCACACACCCCCGUC